GCCUACAGCCAUACCACCCUGAAAGCGUCUGAUCUCGGAAGCUAAGCAGAGACGGGCCUGGUUAGUACCUGGAUGGGAGACCGCCUGGGAAUACCAGGUGUUGUAGGCU
ensembl:rRNA 5S_rRNA 5S ribosomal RNA